rnacentral:rRNA from 1 species
GAUGAACGCUAGCGGCAGGCCUAACACAUGCAAGCCGAGGGGCAGCACAGAAACAGCAAUGUUUUGGUGGCGACCGGCGGACGGGUGCGUAACGCGUAUGCAACCUACCUUUAACAGGGGGAUAACGGAGAGAAAUUUCCACUAAUACCCCAUAACAUCGAUCAAGGCAUCUUGCUUGGUUGAAAACUCCGGUGGUUAAAGAUGGGCAUGCGUUGUAUUAGGUAGUUGGUGAGGUAAUGGCUCACCAAGCCUACGAUACAUAGGGGGACUGAGAGGUUAGCCCCCCACACUGGUACUGAGAAACGGACCAGACUCCGACGGGAGGCAGCAGUGAGGAAUAUUGGUCGAUGGGGGCAACCCUGAACCAGCCAUGCCGCGUGCAGGAAGACGGCUCUAUGAGUUGUAAACUGCUUUUAAACAGGGAUAAAGCACAGUAUGUAUACUGUGUUGAAGGUACUGUAAGAAUAAGGAUCGGCUAACUCCGUGCCAGCAGCCGCGGUAA